rnacentral:lncRNA from 1 species
CAAAUGCAGCUCAACAUUCAUUUUAUUGAACUAGUAUACUGAAAAAGAGAGGACAUCACAAAGAGUGUGCUAACAAGAAUGGAAAAUCAAUACAGUAGUCUGUCAGUGAGUGAUUGUGUGAUGGCCUGUGCUCACUUAUGUACCAGCCGUUGUCAUUUGAUCGGAGUAACUAUAUCAUUAUGGGACACUUGCAACGGUAGGAACGUGUGUUACUUUUGUUUGGGACCCCCUGUGAACAUUUGAACAAAAAGAGCAAAUGUUUCAGUUCGUUUACCUGUUGUUGCAAGCAUAUGACAGACAAUAUGUUAUGUAGACAGCGUCCCUAAAUAAUGGAUAGAGUCCCUAAAUACCACUCCAUGAAUACAUGCCAUGUCUGUCCGUGGAAAUCAAUUCAGAUCAAAUACGAUUCAGCACAACAAAGUUCACAUAGUGUAAUCAAAUUCAAAGGAUAUACGAACUAAGAAUACAGGGUCAGAUUCAUAUACCUCCUGGUCAAUCCAGGCUUCUGAGGAUCGUCUUUGCCAGUUGAUUGCUCUGAUUUCGGCGCCGACAGGAUCGCAUCCUCGCAAGUACUGUUUACAUCUAGUUGUACUGUCAGC